AGCAGCAAUGAGCCCUUAUUAAAGGCACUUUAGGCUUGGUAGUUAUGUAAUAAGUAGGAUACUGUAGGAUGGUUGCUGUAAUUCUCCCCUUUGCUGGAAAAGAGAAUGCUGGUUUAAUAGCUUAUCUACUAAAUGGCUUCUGGAGUAGAAAAGAAAAUAUACUGCUGUCCAUGAGGGAUAAUUUUUUGUGUUCUAAGGGAGGAAUGUUUUUCUGGCCUUCUAGAUACGUCAUGAAGAGGAAGAAGGGAAAAAGAGACCACAAAUAAUGCUCUAUCUUUAAUGCCCCGAUUUAGCAAGGAUUCUUACCUGUAGUGACCAGAUCUAAGGAGAAGCCAUCAUACCUCCGCAGACAUCCUCAUGGAGUAUCCUGAUGUUUAGUCCAUAUCAGCCUAUGCUAAAAUAGAAGAAAAACCACUAGCUAGUUCCACAAAUUGCUUACAUCAAAUAAAAGAGAACUCUUAUUGGAUGUUUACAAAUUUACACAGCAGUUCAUUCGCUUGUCUUGUUUUAUACAAUGAUACAUAUGCAGAGAUGAAGCGUGCGUAUGUGUUUGUAUAUACACACACACACAAUUACCAGCUAUUUGCCCUAACUGUAAUUUCUACAUACCUCCAGUAUAACUUUGCAAUGCUAUGCCUACUACAUGAUGGUUUGGGACAGAGAGGCACAUAGGUACUACAGUG